rnacentral:rRNA from 1 species
GUCUAUGGCCAUACCACCCUGAACAUGCCCGAUCUCAUCUGAUCUCGGAAGCUAAGCAGGGUCAGGUCUGGUUAGCACUUGGGUGGGAGAAUCGCUUUAUAUUCCCACCAGCAAUAGAUG